rnacentral:rRNA from 1 species
UACGGAGGGUGCGAGCGUUAAUCGGAUUAACUGGGCGUAAAGGGCACGCAGGCGGGCUUUUAAGUGAGUUGUGAAAUCCCCGGGCUUAACCUAGGAAUGGCAUGUCAGACUGGGAGUCUAGAGUGCUUAAGGGGCGGGCAGAAUUCCAGGUGUAGCGGUGAAAUGCUUAGAGAUGUGGAGGAAUACCGAAGGCGAAGGCGGC